rfam:Ipomoea nil DNA, scaffold: scaffold3056, cultivar: Tokyo-kokei standard.
GCCCCUCUAGCUCAGUCAGUAGAGCGCAAGACUCUUAACCUUGAGGUCCUGGGUUUAAGUCCCAGGGUAGGUG